GAUGAACGCUAGCGGCAGGCUUAAUACAUGCAAGUCGAGGGGCAGCACAGAUAGCAAUAUUGGGUGGCGACCGGCAAACGGGUGCGGAACACGUACACAACCUUCCUUUUGGUGGGGGAUAGCCUUUGGAAACGGAGAUUAAUACCCCAUAAGAUAUUGGGACCGCAUGGUUUUGAUAUUAAAGAUUUAUUGCCAGAAGAUGGGUGUGCGUAUGAUUAGGUAGUUGGUGAGGUAAAGGCUCACCAAGCCGACGAUCAUUAACUGGUGUGAGAGCACGACUAGUCACACGUGCACUGAGACACGGGCCUGACUCCUACGGGAGGCAGCAGUAAGGAAUAUUGGUCAAUGGACGGAAGUCUGAACCAGCCCUGCCGCGUGGAGGAUGAAGGUCCUCUGGAUUGUAAACUUCUUUUAUAUGGGGCGAAAAAGGGCCAUUCUUGGUCAACUGACGGUACCAUAUGAAUAAGCACCGGCUAACUCCGUGCCAGCCGCCGCGGUAAGAC
rnacentral:rRNA from 1 species